UCCUAAAGGGUAGCUCCCAGCCUAUCAAGCUGUGGGGUGAGAGGGAGGCUCUAUCACUUGUAUAAAUUUCUUUCCUUAGAAAGGAAGUGAAUCAAGAGGGGAAAAUGGAUGAAGCUUAGUGAUAAGUAAAUUCAGAAGGGUAAUGCUGAAGGCAAUAAAGGCCAGCCCUGUGGUUAAGUUAUGUGACCCCAGAGAGGACAGAGAUAAAUAUCACCUAUUGCCCAUUAAUCUGUCUUUGUGGAGCUGCUUCAUCACCAUUGUUAAGCAAAGAUGAACUCUUAGAAGCUGAGCAGGGCACAGUGCAUUGUGUACAAUGAGAGUUCGAGCCCACUAACAGGAUGCUUUCAGCAGACACCCAAAAUGCUGAACUGGAUUUGUCAGACAGCUUGAGCAAAAACAACAAGCCUGGCUUCUGCUGGCUGGUGCAGGUGCUGAGGAAAGUGAGCACGUCCAAACAUUUGUUUGUGUGCCUCCAACAGCUCCCCACCUUUCAGAGCCAGCAAAGAGAGAGAGAAAAGUGUGAAAUCUCACUUCAAGUCCACGGUUCCCUGCUGCUGCUUCUCCUCAGAACGCAAUCUGGAUCAGAGCGAUAAAGAGCAGGAUGUGAAGUCCCAGGAGCGCUGCAAUUAAACAGUGAAAAUGUCAAAAUGGGAGCAGCUGUGGCACCUGCACUCUCCUGCCUUGGUGAUGUCCAGCAUGGAGCUAAAGAUAAAAGAGCAAUUAUAGAGAGAGUUGGGCAAAAGUCAUAAAUUGAGAUUGUGCUGGGAGUGGUGAGAUAAAAGCAGGACAAGCACCUGGUUAUAUAAACGCAGUAGUUACUUGAAACAGAAUGCCUGGGAGUGUUUCAUUAAGAUGGGGCUUUUAUUCUAAAAGCAGGGACUGAUUUAAUAAGUAUUCCUCCUAAAGACUUCAAGUGUCCUCUGUCCAUGCAGCCUGCAUUCCAAGGUUAUCAGAAGCAGCAUUGCCAUGGGCUGAACUCAAUUUAGCACAUGCUUUUUGUCUGCUGAGUGGAUGUGAAAAGGAUUCAGCAACACAAAUCUGCCUGUGUUCUGAAUGGGAAAUGAACUUCUGUUAAAGAUCUUGCAAACCUCAACUACAGCUGCACGGCGCUGAUACAGUCAGGCAAGAGAAGAUGACCUAUUUGCGUCUGUCUGAACUUUGCAUUCCUCUUUUGAUCACGAGCAAUGAAACCUGCAGCAAUACACCAGCCGGCAGGAUGCAAGGAAGUCAGACUCUCUUUGUUUAAUUAUCUCUCUGUGCUCUUUAACUUCAGAUUUAAAGGUAAGAUCUUUCUCAGAGAGACUCUUUUAACAUCAAACCCCACUUUAUGCUCAGGAGAUGUUUAAUCAUUAUUAUGAUCAAGGAAAGUUCAAACGAGGCAGGCAGGAGGUUAGAAAGGCCAUGCCUUGUAAUGCAAAUCUCAUUGUUAGGAUCCACAGGCAUGGAUGUCAUUGCUCUAAAGAGGAAAAAAUACAAACCAGAUCCCAUCAUUAUCAGGAUAAAUGGCCCAGCACAGGAUCCUCAGUGGGACAGCUUGCACUGAGGCCUCAUCUGCUUGCCCCAGAUAUCUGUGCCCAGCAGUGUCUUUGACAGAAGACAAAACUGUUCCAUGGGCUUAUGUGCAGAUUGUUUGGGAAGCAGAGGUCUGAAGAGGAUGUUUACUGGGAUGCUGCAAUGUGAUCCCCAGAAAUCUAACAGCAUCUGAUGACAUUCUUGCUCUUGUUCGAGUCUCUCCCCCACUGAGAAGCUCUGAGACCCAUCAUAAACGACAUCAUUUCAACCAAGACAUCUCUACAGGAGAGACAGAAGCUUUUCUGUGGGCCCAGUGCACAAGAUAGACCCUAACGAGAACUCUGGAGAUUAAAAGGUGCUCUUAUCUUUGUAUCAUCUGACAUUGGCAAAGCAAAGACCAGGCUUGGAUACUGUCUGUUAAGAUAAUGCAAGUAAAAAAUGAGCUAUUGAAAUCUUUUUGUCAAUCACUCAAAUAUAUUUGUUACAUUUCCAAGCUUUUCCAUCACUGUUUCCCCUCUGCCCUCAUACAGGAACUCAGCAAACUGUGCCAGAAAUCACAAGGGAAGAGAUGGACUCAGCUCACCCAAAAAGGCAGCAAAAAGCUGUCUGUGGCUUUUAGCUCAUCUCACAGUUCUGGUUAUUAUUUACUUAAUUCAGUAAGGAGCUUAUUGACAUUACAGUCUCCUGUUCACCUCAGGCACACAUUCUAAUCAACUCUCGUUAUGGUCAAAUAGGUGGCUGGAGGCAAUUCUCCCCAGAAUUCAUUGUUUUCAGAUCAGUUUCUUUAUUAUCAGAGCUCCUGCAUCAGCACUUAGAGCAAUAUUGCUUCACAGCUAGGUUGUUGCAGAGCUGGUGUAUUGCUUCCUGAUCAAGUGUCACAAAUCCAGGAUUACCCCAGUGGGCCAGAAUGCCCAGGUAGGAAACCGAGAGCACAGCAGAGCUUGGUGAGCUUGAUUCUCCAAGCCCAGUGCCACUCUGGGAUCUGACCCUAGCACUGAGGCUAUUAUCAGGUAGUUUUCUCCAGCCUCUACCUCAAGCAAAUGUUCCUGUCCAUUUGCAUGCAGCAGCUAUGAGAUGUCUCAUGUGGAACAAGCCCCUAAGAGCACAAAGAACACACACACGAGAGUCCAGAAGGAGCAACGUUACACAAGCUGAGACUUGUGUGUGCUGCACAAACUGUGGCAAGAGCCAGCUCUUUUCCUUUCUCCCCAGAGAAAGUCUUUCCCCUGUGGGCUUUCUAGCUUGAUCUUUUAAUAGCUUUGCUCUGCCAAGUUCUAUAAAACAGAGUCCAGAUUCACUGCAGAGCAUGAAGGCAAAUUGUGUCCAUAAAUCAGCCAUCAGCUCAUAACUAUUUUUGUUAGCUGUGUGGAGAAUAUCAUGUAAUUACAAGGCAGUCACAUUCAUGAUCAUUAAAAGAGAGUUCUAUGUGAUAGCCAUAUUAUGUUGUGAUAAUCUGUUACACUUCUCAGCAUGCAAAGCCCAUCUCAGAGUUAGCAAGCCUGAAGAUAUUUUCUGUGAGGCAGGUACAGCUCAGUAUUUAGAUCAAUAAAAGGACUCUUAAAUUUGGUA